UUAACUUCUACAGCUUGGGAAACUUUUGAUGUAGUUGUAAUCAAUGGUGUUAAAAAGGCAAAAUGUAAGGAUUGUAAUAGCUUACUCUCAUACUCGGGAGCUAAUGGAACCUCACACCUCAACAAACAUGCUAGAAAACAUUGUUCGGGAAGACACUUGAGGCUUGCUAGUGGUCAAUCACAAUUAAAGUUCAAGAAAGAAGAUGACGGGACCACUUCUUUGUCACUUAAGGAAAAAACAAAGAAAGUAUCAUUUGAUCAAGAUGUUUCAAGGCGAGAGUUGGUUAAGAUGGUAGUAGUACAUGAGUAUCCUUUGUCAAUUGUAGAUCACAUUGGUUUUAGGAGUUUUGUCAAGAGUUUGAAUGAUGAUUUUAAGAUGAUUUCAAGGAAUACAUUGAAAUGUGAUGUGGUGAAGAUGUUCAACAAUGAGAGAGGUUCUCUUAAGGCUUUUUUAGUUGCUAACGAGGGUAGAGUGGCAAUAACAACUGAUAUGUGGACUGCCUCCAACCAAAAAAAGGGGUAUAUGGCCGUGACAUCCCAAUUCAUUGAUGAUAAGUGGAUUUUGCAUAAUCGAACAAUAAGGCACACUUGAUGGAAAGAAUUUGUCAUACACAAUUAAUGAAGAUUGUGAUUAUGAUAAUGAAGCUCAAGAUAUCAUUGACAUGGAUGUUGAUGAUGUUAGUAGUGAUGAAGAAUAGCCCUCUUGAAGUCUUGGACUCUUGGACUCUUGGUAGAUGUACCAAGUGAAGAAUGAAAUAUGUAAAAUUGCAAAGUGCAAACUAUGUUUUAAUUGUUUGUAAGAAUUGUAGACUUUGUAAUAUUAUUGAAGUUUGUUAAACUCUUAAUGUUAUUUAUUUUGGAUUUGGAACUUAAUGUAAGUGGAUGCUUGUAUCGACAAAUGGCGUUGUUAUUGUCGUUUCAUUAAACUAUUUUAACGUUAGGAUGAAA